rnacentral:lncRNA from 10 species
UUUCAAUUUUAUUGAAAUGAAGGAGAAAAGGAUUACAGUAGUUUAGAUUUAAGUGAUACUUUGGAGUGUGAAGGUAGAAAGUGAAACACCUAUUACCUUCUAAUGGGAUUUUUUUUCUUGUUAUACACAGAGAUUAAAUGUCUCCCAAGAGAGUGAAUGGAGGAGGAUCUGGGUUAGGAAGUCUGAGGUAUGUGAGAAGUUUUAGAAAAUGGCAGUGAGAUGUGAUUACAGAGAAGAAUACUUUCCUGGAAACAUUGUGGGCCUAGUUAAUUUUGAAGUCAUUACAAACAAGGCCUCGGGGCUUUUUGCAGUUUCCCAUCUGUACCAGUGUAAGGCAUAAAAAUUGCUGGAAGGGAAGCUGCAGGUGAAAUUGGUGCUGUCUCCCUCCUGAACAUGCAGUGACUGAGGACUUUGUUCCACGUUCAGUAUGCUGCUCACGCCUGUUUUUUUAAAAAAGAGUCAGACAUAGAAAUUGGUCUCUCUACAGAGUUGGCAUUUUCUUCACACAUCCCCAAAUAAAACCUAGAGUGUCUGACUGCAUCCUCCUCCUUCCUCAUCAUCACCCCAGACUAAGAAUGUCUCCUGUAACCCCUGGACUUACAGUCAAGAUGAAACCAGAGGAUUAGUAAUGGGGCUGCCAAAGGAUUCUUCUCCAUGUUUCCUGCUCACGUACCCACAGCAGAAAAACGUUUUGCAGCCAAAAUCUGUGGAAAUAUUCUGCUUCAGAAAACAGGAUUCUGCAUCUGGUUGCCUAGCCAAUCAGAGACCAGCUCCCAUAAAUGUCCUAGAAACGCUCUGCCCUAUGUUCAGUUUCCUGUGGUUCACAAAGAGGAGUCGAAGUAACUGCUUUCUUCAGGCCAACUUCAUAAACUUUGAGGAAAUCCCCCAUGAGUGUGGAACACAACGAGAAUUGACACCCUUUCAGAAGUGCGCUGCCUAACUGUGGACUGCUAUUAUUCAAAUUUAGAGGGAGUUACAGGUGGGAUGGCAUUUGUGGCAGGAAAAGCAUUUUUCUUUGAAUCUUCAAACAUUAAAAAACAACUUUUGAAUCCCCCUCAAAUUAUAAAUGUGCACACAUCUAAAUUACCUUUUUCUUUAUGUACAUCUAUCUAAUAAGAAAGUCAUGCAAUAGAGACAUUACUGUUUCUAAUUUACAAACAAAAAAUAACCCAAAGCUCAAGGAGAUUAAAUAAUUCACUCAAGGUCAAUUACCUAAGUGGCAUAUUAAGAAUUAGAACAUAUAUCUGUCUAGCUCUAGACUUUAUAAUUGGAAUCUGAUAUGCCACCUACAUUUGUGAUGCACCAUGAAUGUUUUACAUGUUAGAUAUGUUCUAAAAAUAAUGGAAGUCUAAUUUGUGGAUAUUCUUUAUUAAGGCUAAAAAAAUGAGAACA